rnacentral:misc_RNA from 1 species
AAAUAAUCUCAAUUCAAGUAAAGCAAAUUAAUGAGAUUAAUUAAGGAGGCUGGAGAAAGUUACAGUUCAAGAAAGCAAAAUUAAUUGCAUGAUUAUAGACAACAUGACUUGUGAAGUGUUUUUGAGCAACAUAGAUUCACCUUUGUGCGAUUACAAAGGGAUGAAUUGAAACAGCAGAAACUGAAGCGUGGACAUGAAGGUCUGGUAAUUUUGCAACAACUUUGACAAGCCAUAUUCUCCAAGCACCUGCAUGAAUGCCUGUGGGAGUUACUCGAUGGACAGCAGGCACAAGAAGUUGGCUUUUGACAUUCACUUGAGCAGCAAAUCCGUGAAAGACAGAUCCACUUCCAGCGGCAACUAGAUUUAUGGGGCUUCUCAUUUCUUGACACAAAAGGAUCUGGUUUAGCCCCAAUGAAGUCAUCAAGCCUGUCAAUUAAAUGUUAAUGGUCAGAGAGGAACGUACAAAUGCUGAAAAGCAUACCUUGAAAGUGUGGAAUAAGCAUGUUAUGACGGUCAGGCAAACUAAACGCUAUGAAAUUGAAUCAAUGAAGAAACCAUACUCUUUGCAGCAUCUGGAAGCAGGUUGAAGGCCUUCAACAGUUUUUAACUCUUCCUGAAGCAAACCAAUCUCUCUCUCCAAGAUUUGUACCUUGACCAACUGUCUUCCCUUCCCAAACAAAUCUAAACAUCCAGGUGGUGACUUUGGGCACCAUGGAGGUGGCGCGGCCAAAGAAGAAGACCCACGUGAGGAAGAUGAAGAACAAGAGUUGGAGCAGCCACCCAUCAUCUAAACAAGAAGAAGAAAUGCAGCAAAAACCAUUGAAGACAAUGCGGUUAAUGUGGUUAGGUACGUGAAAGGCAUUGCUU